CGUCCUCUGCCGUGUUCGACGGCGUGCGCAAACAUUCGCCUUGUCCCUUAAUGACGACCUCGGGGACGCAGCGGUUUCCGGGUGUGCAUGUCCGCCUCGCAGCGGGAAGCCCGAUGGAAACCCGGCGUUCCCACUUGAACCCCGGGUUCAAGGUCGUUUGGCGCGCAUCGCCAUGGCGGAGGACGU
rnacentral:other from 1 species